CAGUCGCCGCGGGAAUACGUAGGUGGAAAGCGUUGUCCGGAAUUAUUGGGCGUAAAGGGCUCGCAGGCGGUUUCUUAAGUCUGAUGUGAAAGCCCCCGGCUCAACCGGGGAGGGUCAUUGGAAACUGGGAAACUUGAGUGCAGAAGAGGAGAGUGGAAUUCCACGUGUAGCGGUGAAAUGCGUAGAGGUGUGGAGGAACACCAGUGGCGAAGGCGACUCUCUGGUCCGUAACUGACGCUGAGGAGCGAAAGCGUGGGGAGCGAACAGGAUUAGAUACCCGCGUAGUCCCUGUCUCUUAUAC
rnacentral:rRNA from 1 species